UACGGAGGGUGCAAGCGUUGUCCGGAAUUACUGGGCGUAAAGCGUGCGCAGGCGGUUUUGUAAGUUUGUCGUGAAAUCCCCGGGCUUAACCUGGGAAUUGCGAUGAAGACUGCAAGGCUUGAAUCUGGCAGAGGGGGGUAGAAUUCCACGUGUAGCAGUGAAAUGCGUAGAGAUGUGGAGGAACACCGAUGGCGAAGGCAGCCCCCUGGGUCAAGAUUGACGCUCAUGCACGAAAGCGUGGGGAGCAAACAGG
rnacentral:rRNA from 1 species